rnacentral:hammerhead_ribozyme from 1 species
AUUCAGCUGAAGAGUCCCAAACAGGACAAAAUGUGCGCCCUGCAU